CUUUCUGCAUAGGCAAGAGAAAGAGAGAGAAAACGAGAGCAGAGAAGGGGGGUUCAGGUUUGGAGCUCCAGUAUCAAGUGAAGGCCAGGUUUUCCAACAGGGGAUUAAGAAAAGAACAUGGAUCAGACCGAGAUUACACACCAGGGAUUACUGGGCCUCUGACUGCCCCUGCCUAACCCAGCACGGCCUGAGACAGAGGGCUGUAGAGCCCACAGCUUAUAGGGCACUCCGCUGACCCUGCUUACUCCUGGAGUACACCACCACUACACGCUGACCCGGCCCCUGAAAGAGACAGUGAAAGCCGGACCCACUGACUGCCACAGCGAUGCUACGCUGGUCGUCUCCCUCAUGGUGCUUCUCUGACCUGUGGACGGAUCUGUUCUACCUAGGGUUUCUCUUUCACAGCUCUCCGUCUGUCUGGCCAAUUUGGCUACAACGUGUUGCUUUAAGUCGGUCAUGUAAAUCACACAAAAACACAACAGAGCUCAGAACUCUUUAUCAGCUACGUCCCCUGCUUAUAUUCACAAGCUAAUCUAUGAAAUGUAUUAAACCAUUUAAAUGCUCUAAACUUACUUUUUUUUUUUUUACAAGGAACACGUGUCCACCUAAGUUAAAUGUAGGAAAAUAUUUAGGUGCAUGUGUGAGUAAAAUGGUUGCACUGUAAGUCCCUGCAUUUGACACCACUCACUCCAACAAAGACAUUAUCAAUCAAACCACGCUGUGCAAACAGUGUGAUCACUCAAUAGGGAAGUUAAUGCCCUGGAAGGAGUUAGAGGGGUGUUGUUUGUGUACUGUGCACAGACUGGUUAAAAAUGAAAACCAGUUCAAGGUUUGACAUUGUGGCUUGCCAAACUCUACUGCAUGGCUGCCCGACCUGGCUACUAAUUGCAUGAUAUAAACUUACAUUUUUGGCAUUACAUCUUCCCUGGCAGCCCUACAACCACAUGGGAAACCACUUUAUAAAAUAUAACUCUAUCUCUGCUAAGAUUGAUUGUGUGCUGCCUUCAGCCUUCAUUGUUUGUUUACUUCUACAUGAUCGUCACUAGACUUCAACCAUCUCCCUGACCACCUUCCUCUGAUCAAGCCAUGGACUGUCCCACUGUCUUAGAGGAUGCAUGCUCUCAGACUUGACCUCUAUUGGGUGACCUAACUAAGGCUUGGCUACUCAUGAUGUAUCGCUUGUUUGUUUAUUGCUUUUGAAGCGCUUUGAGAUUUUUAUAAAAAAGCGCUAUAGAAAUGUAAUUAAUUAUCACUUAUUCUUUCCACUGCCACAGGGGACAAAAAUUACAGAUUGCUCUUUUUACAGUUAUCUGUUUUCACUUACACGCAGGCGGACAGGUGGGAGGGAGUCCAGUGCCACGGUGCCUGUCCCAUCCAACUGGGAGCUACGGCUGAUGAGGUGGAACAGCGGCCCAUUCUUGGCCACCCUGCCGUGGGCACACGCCCGCUUCAGUGCCACUCUCAGCUGCUGGUGGAACAGCCCGGGCCCCAUGGAGCCACUGCCAGACAGUGGUAUCCACUUGUUCUCCGGCCGGGAAGGGGACAGAUCUCUCACCCCAGGGAGCAGCGAGGGCUGAUCACCUUCAUGCAGUCAACUUCAGCAGAAAACACACCCUGCUGAAACAAAGGACACAAACAUGGAAGGGUCAGAAAGUGUGUGCAAGAGAGAAAGCAGCAAGACGGUCACAUUCUGCAGGCAAAAACAAAGAAAAACAUCUUUAAGUUUUGUAUUAGAGUUGAGGUAAUUCUGCCAUUUCAAAACAUUUGCUCCCUUUAGUGCCUACUGAAUGUAACCCUCAAAAGACAUGUACUGAGACACUCAAACAACAGCAGCAUGUAAACAAAGUCAUGCUUGGCAACUAAACACAGAGACAGUUAGGGAGCACACAUCUUGUAUGAGAUGGAUACAUGCUGCCUGAAGUCUAGAUCAACAUUACCUGACAUGAGCACCGUUUAUAACACUGAACAUAACAAAUACAUUUAGGAUGGGAAGAGAAAACCCUGAGCAGAGGGCAUAGUUAGCUCAGAAAGACAGUGCCAGACUAGCGCCUGAGUAGGUAAACAUCAGCCACUGGGAUGAUCUCUAAUGUAGAUAUGGAGGUAACUUUACAUUCUGUUCUCCAUGUUUGUGUAAAUGCAGAUUCUUUUAACCACAAAACCAGAGCAACUCUCAUAAGUGUCAUAGUAAACACUACGGAAGAAAGCCCUACCUCCUUUAUUUACAUGUUAUAGUAUAUUAUCUUUAUAUACCUAAGAAUUUCACAACAUGGGCUCAUGAAUUGGGUCCGAAAACAGACAUUGAUAAAAAGGUCAUAACAACAACAGCCCAGAUUAUGGAGAACAGGAUACAUUGUUGUUGAAUUCUUGACAUUAUGAUUUUGCUAAGCCACAUGGUUCUCACUUUGAACAGCAAAACAAAUCAACUAAAAUAGCUAAAUAAACGGAACACUACUAGCUA